rnacentral:tRNA from 1 species
AUUAUUACUUUGGCAGAUUAGUGUAUUUGAUUUAGGGUCAAAGAAUGUAGGUUUAUACAGGUAAUA